rnacentral:rRNA from 1 species
UACGUAGGGUGCAAGCGUUUGUCCGGAAUUAUUGGGCGUAAAGAGCUCGUAGGCGGUUUGUCGCGUCGAAUGUGAAAUCCCGGGGCUCAACCCCGGGUCUGCAUUCGAUACGGGCAGACUAGAGUUCGGUAGGGGAGUCUGGAAUUCCUGGUGUAGUGGUGAAAUGCGCAGAUAUCAGGAGGAACACCGGUGGCGAAGGCGGGACUCUGGGCCGAUACUGACGCUGGAGGAGCGAAAGCGUGGGGAGCGAACAGG